AUGAAGGAGAGACCAGAUGACAUGAAAGACAGCUCAUAUUUACAUGGUGCUACACUGCUGAAUAAUAAUAAUAAACAACACCAUGAUAACUAUCAUUUACAUAAUGCUUUUCAGCUUGUGAAGCAUUUUAAAUAUGGUAUCUCUUUUCAUGCUCACAACAACCCUAUAAGUUUCCUCUUAGAUAAAAUCACCUGGAGAGAAAGAUGGCAAACCAUACCAUUAUCUGCCAAGAAAAAUCCAAAUGGGCUCACAAAGACUGAACAACAACACAUGCCAGUUGAAGAAACUGAGGUCCAGAGAGGUGAAAUGGUUGUCAGAAAGAGAAGGGAAGGAGAAGGAAAGGCAAGAAGAAAAGAAGGAAAGAUUUCUUCCACCAGAGACUCUGGUAUACCAUGUGCAUCCUCUUCUGAAGCAGGAAACCAGAAGAAUGUUUAUCUCCUCUCAAGUUCUCAUGCCAAUUCUGUCUUUUACUUGGGAUAA
rnacentral:lncRNA from 1 species